rnacentral:lncRNA from 1 species
AUUGGAGUGGAGCACAAAGAACACACCACUAACCUCCAAAUGCAUAAUCUGGCCGAAAGCACAUUUGGAAAAUCUGUUGACAGUGCUGCCACUUCAUUGUAACACAUUGGUAAACCACCUAUUCCAAUUUCGAUUCCCAUUUCAACUAAUAGGUUGUUACCUUGUAUGGUGCAGGUCCCCAAUCGAAUCCAAGCUGGUGGGAAUGAUUACAUUGACUUAAGGAUGCUCAACGCCCCAAUCGGGAAGGAUUACUAUGCCCUUCCAUUCAUAGAGCCAAUGUAUGAGUAUUUUGAGGAGCAUGCCGUAGAGCACAUUGAUUGGAGCAUAUUUAUGCGACUUAGUUAACAUGUUUUCUUGCAUUUACUUAGUUAGUUAUUGCUUAUAAGAGUGUUUUAAGCUAUUUUCGUGUGUUUUGUAGGUCCUAAUAACUAAGUUGGAAAGAAAGUGCAUUUUGGUGCAAUUUGGAGCAAUUUUGGGCCAAAAUGGAUUGCAUGCAUAUGGAGCAAGUGGGAUGGACGUUUUUGGUGUUUUAAAAAGGGUUUCAACACAUGCAAAAAUCUGAAUAAUGAAGUUGAAGUGUGGAAGUGUGCAGAUACAUACACUUAAGGAACAAUUUGAAAGGAAAAGAAGUGAAAGAUGCCAUUUGUUGGAUUGCUUUACAAGUUGUAUUCACAUUUUCAGCAACUACAAACAUAAUUGCAAGCUGAAAUGAUGCAUAGCAUGUGUGUAGAGGUGUAAAGUGGCCUAAAGUUGAUGUUUGCAAGAUGAAAUGAUGCAAAACAUGUGUGUGAAAGUUGUCUAACAGCUAGUACAUGUGGAAAAGGGAUGGAAUACAAGGCAAAUGCAUCAGAAAUUGAAGAAUGAAGGCACAUGGACAGCUACAAAGGAGUUGAAUUAGCAAAAGAGGAAUGAUUGCCUUUUGUUAAAGGCAAGACACAAUGAUAAAAGAGCAUGUAAACUAGCUGUUUUUGCAUCAUUUUGGUCUUUGUUUGUAUUGUUUAUUGAAGCCACUUGAGUGAUUCUUUGCUUUGGAGCUUCUAUAAAUAGGGAGUGAAGGGAAGAACACUACACAUUACACUACAUCAAAAACACAUCAACCACCCCUCCAUAUUCAGAAUUUUCUCCAGAAAUCAUUCCCUCUCUUUGCCACAGCCUUCCUUCACCAUUCUUCCAUAUUUUUCUGAUUCUUUUUACCCUAGCCGUACCCCCCAUCAAUCCUAAACCCUUCCAUACCAUUCCCUACCCAUUCUCCCAUACAAAUACCACCCUAGAACCUGACUUUAGACCAAGUGCCGCAGCAAGGAGGAAAGAAGACUUGUUGAUGCACCUGCUGUCCAAGUUGGAUCAUCUAGCUGUUUUCUUUCUUUGGAUUUUAAUGUCUAAAUUUAUGUAUCUUUGCUUUGUGAGUAUGAGGAACUAAACCCCCUUGGCUAGGGGGGGAUUCGAAACCAUGUUUAUGCUUGCUAUAUGAUUUGAUUACUUUCAAUUGCAUUUCAUAAGUUGUGAAUUCAAUUUACUUAUCUACAUGAAUUAAAACUGAUUUGUGUGUGUUGGUUGAGAGUGCACGCUUAAUUUUCAUGCAUAAGUUUGAUGCUAGGAUAUAAGGGAAUUUCACCUAAUCGUUAUGAACUUAUAUUCAAAAGUAGUGAAGGUUGUUGAUCACAAUCGUGUUAAGUAAAUUCUUGGCAUAAGUUUCAUGCAAUUCAUAGUAACGAGUGCUUCGCCAAUGCUUAUGAUUUUCAUAGAACUUAAUGAUUCUUGCUUGUAUCUCUAUUAUGCAAUUCAUGUAGGGAACUUGUGGGGAAUGCUUUGGGUUGUCGUAUGCAAUUCAUCCAAUCCAAUAACUUAAGGAAAAUCUGAGGGUUAAUUAGUGCAAUUCACGGUUAAUCUGGGGUGUUGGGAAUUCAUGGUUUAUCGAAAAGCAAUUGGAAAUCGUUUUGUAUGCAAGUGUGACAUGUGUGGAGAAGAACCCCUUAGCUAGCUUUCCAUCCAUUCACUUUUCUCAAAUUCAUUUUAGAAUCUGUUCAAUUUACAAGUUUUGUUUUUGUUUUCAAUUUUCGUCAAAACCAAUUCCCCAUUUAUUUUAAAGUGUUAGAUUAAGUAGAAAUUAAUUUAGUUUGUGUUUUUAAGGGUUUUGAGUCAAGUUAUAACCCAAUUUGGUCCAAUUUAGUGUUAGGUGUCAAAACUGCCCAGAAAGUGUUUUUAAGGCAGUUUUGAGUCUUUGUUUGCUGUUUUGAGUCUUUUGGUUUGUUUUGGUGUUUUAAAGUUUAGUUUUGCAUUCUUUGAGUCUACUUUAGUGUUUUAAACUUGUUUUUACGUAUUUGAGUCAGUUUUCAAGUGAUUUAGCAAUCCCUCCUAAUCCCCUGUCUAGAACGAUCCCUACUUACAUACUUUGCUACAAUUAAUAAAAAGAGGAUUUAAUUUGUGUGCUUAUAUAUUUCGCAUCAGACAUACCCCUCCAUGUCGUGGGCCCUAUUCAAGCUUAAAUGGAGGUAUCGUCCGGCUGGUGAUAGGAGCAUAUUUAUGCGCCUUAGUUUAGCUUGAUCUUGUGCAUUUAUAGUGUUUUUCCUUAGUAAAGUAGUCUUUUAAGCUAGUUUUAUGUGUUUUCAGGUUUUAAGGGCAAAAUAUGAAAAAGGAUGCUUUUUGGAGCCUUUUGGAGCAAAGUUGAGCUUGGAAUGGAUGUCAUAUGCUUGGAGCCAAGAGGAUGGACGAAAUUGAAGAUUUGAAGAUGAUGUUUCCUACUUGAACAAGGUUUCCUAGUCGAAGUAGGAAAGCGCCUAAGUGAAGAUGGAAUCCUAGUUGAAUUAGGAUUCCUAGUCAAAAUGGGUUUCCUAGUUGAAUUAGGAUUCCUUGAAGAUGAAGAUUCCUAUGCAAACAAGGUUUCCUACUUGAUGUAGGAAAGUCAAAAUCCAAAUGGUCUCAAGUGAAGCAACAAAGAAGUUUUCCAAGUCCAAGAAGGAAAAGGAGUCCAAGUUGAAGAAGGAAUGACAAAGACAAGGUUUCCUAAUCCUAAUAGGCAAAGUUUCCAAGUGCAAUGAGGAAUCCUUAUCCAUUUAGGGCACCUUAUCCAUUUAGGAUACCUCAUCCUUGUUCUAGAAACCUUAUCCAUCCUUGCCGUGAGUUUUCCUUGCAUUAGAGGGUUUCUAGAAGCCCUAAUCUGCUCCAUCCUUUAGUGCCGCACCCUAGGCCUUCUAGAUACCCUAAUUCCUUGCCUUGCAAGGCAUUCUAGAAACCUUAUCACCUUAUCCCAUUGCUGCCGCACCCUUAUCCUUUUCCUUUGCAAAAUCUGAUUGUUUAAACCUAUUUCCUUGUGGAUUUGGGUUAUCCAAGUCCAUAUCUGAUUACCCUAGGGUUUUAAGUGCCUAUAUAUACUCAUAUUAAUCCCUAGAUCAGAUCACCACCUCUCAUACAUAACCAUUCACGCCAGAAAUUAAACCUUGAUUUCUGCCGCACCCUUCUACCACCAUUCUCCCAAAUAUCUGCCUAAAAACAACCCUAGCCGCACCACCCAUCAACCCAAAAGCCUUCCCUACCAUUCCCCAUCCAUUCAACACCACAAAUAACCCCAAAGAACUUGUCUAAAGUUCUCUGCCGCAGCAAGGAGGAAGGAGGAUUCUUGGAUGCACUUGCUGCCACGUUGGAGCAUUCUAGGUGUUUUCUUUCCUUUGAUUUUAAUGUCUAAAUUUAUGUAUCUUUCCUUUGCGAGUAUGAGGAACUAAACCCCCCUUGGCUACGGGGGGAUUCGAAAUACAUGUUUAUGCUUGCAAUAUGAUUUGAUUACUUCUAAUUGCGUUUCAUAAGUUGUGAAUUCAAUUUACUUAUCUAUGUGAAUUACAUUGAUUUGUGUGUGUUGGUUGAGAGUGCACGCUUAAUUAUCAUGCAUAAAUUGAAUGCUAGGAUAUAAGGAAAUUUCACCUAAUCGUUAUGGACUUAUAUUCACAAGUAGUAAAGGUUGAUGAUCUCAAUCGCGUUAAGUAAAUUCUUGGCAUAAGUUUCAUGCAAUCAUAGUAACAAGUGCUUCGUCAAUGCUUAUGGUUUUCAUAGAACUUAAUGAUUCUUGCUUGUAUCUCUAUUAUGCAAUCAUGUAGGGGACUUGUGGGGAAUGCUUUGGGUUGUCGUAUGCAAUCAUCCAAUUCAAUAACGUUAGGAAAAUCUGAAGGUUAAUUUAAGCGGACCUAAUUAACUUGGGGCGUUGAGAAUUCAUGGGUUAUUGAAAAGCAAUUGGAAAUCGUUUUGAAUGCAAGUAUAACAUGUAUGGAGAUGAACCCCUUAGCUAGCCUUCCAUCCAUUCAUUUAAAUCAAAUUCGUUUUUAAAAUCUGUCUAGUUUACAAAGUUUGUUUUGUUUUCAAAUUCGUCCAAAAUCAAUCCCCCUUUUCUUUGUUGAGUCAUAUUAGUUAGAAGUCAAGUAGUUUGUGUUUUUAAGUGUUUUGAGUCAAGUUAAAAACUAAUUUCGUCCAAGUUUGUGUCUAGUGCUCAAAACUGCCCAGAUUGUGUUUUUAAGGCAGUUUUGAGUGUUUUGGGGCAGUUUUGAGUCUUUUGGUUUGUUUUAGUGUUUUAAAGUUUAGUUUUGCAUUCUUUGAGUCUAGUUUAGUGUUUUAAACUUGUUUUUACGUAUUUGAGUCAGUUUUCAAGUGAUUUUGCAAUCCCUCCUAAUCCCCGGCCUAGAACGAUCCCUACUUACAUACUUACUACAAUUGAUAAAAAGAGGGUUGAUUUGAGUGCUAGUUAAUUUUCACAUCAAAUUUUGGCGCCGUUGCCGGGGAUUAGCAAUUUUGCUAAUCCCUUGGAUUGUUAUUUUCGUUUUUCUUAUUGAUCAGAUUCUUAUGUUAUUUUGUUUCUUGUUUUAGGUACUUGUUUAUGACUCGGAGUUCUAAUCCGGUUCACGAACAUAUUUUAGACUUUGACGACGAUUUUGAGCGUGAGUUGAGACGAAAGAGGAAGAACCCGGAACCUAGUGAAUCAAGUGCAAGUUCCGAGUCCGUUUCUGAAUUUGAAGAGGAAGUGGAAGACAUGGCAGCGGACAACCGAACGAUCAAGGAGCUUUCCGCUUCGGGAUUGGAUAAUGCCGCACCCCUAUGUAUCCAAUACCCUAGGGCGGCUCCGGACAAAACUGCCGAGUUCGACUUGAAGUCAAGCUUGUUACAUCACAUUCCGAAGUACCAUGGGCUGUCCAUGGAAGAUCCGAACAAGCAUUUGAAGGAGUUUGAAGUCGUUUGCUCAAGCAUGACUCCGGUGAACGUGGAUGAGAGCAUCUUGAAGAUGAAGGCCUUUCCCUUUUCUCUCCAAGAGAAGGCGAAAGAUUGGUUGUACGAAUUGGCUCCCGGAACUGUCACAUCAUGGGAGAGCAUGAAACGAGCUUACUUGGAGAAGUUUUUCCCAACUUCUCGAGUCAUCCUCCUACGAAAAAGGAUAAGUGGAAUUCAACAAGAUGAAGGUGAGUCGUUUCCUACAUAUUAUGAACGUUUUAAAUCUCUUGUUGCUUCAUGUCCACAGCAUCAAAUGAAAGAGGAACUACUUCUACAAUACUUCUAGGAGGGACUUUUACCAAUUGAACGUCAAAUGCUAGAUGCCUCAGCGGGAGGAGCAUUGGUGGAAAGGACCCCUACGGCUGCAAAGAUGUUGAUUGCUAAUCGAGCGUUGAACGCUCAACAAUACGAAGGUGUUGGCCAAAGGAGCAUGCCACGGCAACAUCAAGUCAAUGAGGUAAGUACCAUAACCGAACUUCAAAAUCAAAUGGCUAACCUUACUACGUUGCUUUCUCAGGUGAUGGAAGGUCGAAAAGUCAAACUCGUAGCUUCUUGUGGCGUAUGCUCCAUGCCAAACCACCAUACGGACAAGUGCCCACAAUUGAUCGAGAAUGGAGGGUGGGAGACACUCAAUGCCGUGGGAUAUGGCAACCAAUACCAAUCACCUGGUGAUCCGUUUUCCAAUACUUACAAUCCCGGUUGGCGUGAUCAUCCGAAUUUCAAAUGGCGAGACCUCUAACAAGGCCAACAACAAGACGGAUUUAGGCAACAACCCCCAGGUUUCUAUCAAAAGUCGUUGGCACCACCACAAGCCCAAGAACAACCUGCCCAAAGCAAUGCAGGUAAUUCAAGUGAUAAUGAUAAGAUUUUCAAUUACUUACUACUUUGAUGCAGGAAGUCCAAACUCAAAACAAAGAGAGGCAAAUCCAAGACAAGAGGGUGGACAACUUGGAGAAGCAAGUGGGACAAAUUGCCGAGUUCAUGGGGCAAUUUCGUGAGCAAGGAAGGUUGCCUAGUUCAACGGUUGUCAAUCCGAGGGGAGGAGUCGAAACUGCCAAGGCCAUCAUGCUAAGAAGCGGAAAAGAAGUAGGAACCGAGCCAAAACCAUCCAAAUCUGCCCUCAAGGAGGACGAGAAGUUGCAAAUAGAAGAGGAGGAGCAAGCAAAACCCACGGCAGGGAUUGAGCAAUCCUUGCCGCAACCACCCAGGCCAUCAAAUUCGGCCAAUAAGGGUAAGACAUGUACAAUUCAAGUUAAUUCUAAUGUUAUUCCUCCGGAUGUACCAUUUCCUAGCAGAUUUUUGCAAGCCAAGAACGAAGAAGAGGAACAAUACGUUCUUGAGACGUUUAGAAAGGUGCAUGUCAAUAUCCCUCUCCUCGAUGCUAUAAAGCAAAUCCUGAAGUAUGCCAAGUUUUUUAAGAAGCUUUGUACAACAAGGAAACGGAUUCGGGAGAAAGAGGUGGUACACGUAAGCGCGAGAAUGUAUCUGCAUUGUUGCAAAGAAAGUUACCACCUAAAUGCAAAGACCCAGGUAGUUUCACUAUCCCUUGUGUUAUUGGCAAUACGAGGUUUGAUCAUGCUAUGUUAGAUUUAGGUGCAUCUAUAAAUGUCAUGCCAUAUUCUGUUUAUGCAUCUAUGAAUCUAGGGAAGCUUAAAAAUGAUGGUGUUAUUAUUCAAUUAGCCGAUCGAUCUAAUGCAUAUCCCAAAGGAGUGUUAGAAGAUGUGUUGGUGCAGGUAGACCACUUGAUUUUUCCUGCAGAUUUCUAUGUGCUUGAUAUGGAGGACUCAACCCACUCUCCACCAUCACCACUCUUACUUGGACGACCAUUCAUGAAAAUGGCGCAAACCAAGAUUGACGUGGCCAAGGGAGCAGUAACUAUGGCCUUUGGUGGUGAUAUGAUUAACUUUAAGAUUUCUGAAUCGGUUGAGAAUACUAAUGAUGCUCGUUCUUGUUGUGCUAUUAAUGUAAUUGAAAAUAUAGGGAAGGAAUGUUCAACACUAGUCAACAAGAAUGUAUCACAACCCACCAUCGAGGAAGGAAUUGGAGUGAACAACAAAGAGUGCACGGCCCCAACCUUGAAAUCACCAAAUCUGGUCGAGUGCACCCCUUGUGCAUAUGUCCAUAGUGCUACCACUUCUUUGCCGUACAAAGGUAAGCCACCUAUUCCAAAUUCGAUUCCCAUUUCAACUAAUAGGUUGUUACCUUGUAUGGUGCAGGUACCUAAUCGAAGACAACGUGGUGGGAGAGUUCGUGUUGAUUUAGAGAAGCAAAACAUGACAAUAAGAAAGGAUCAUUAUCCCAUCCCAUUCAAGGACCUAAAGAAUGAAGUAUUUCGUAGGACAGGUUGUGGAAACACCCCUCCAUGUCGUGGGGUUCCAUAAACCUUCAAUGGAGCAUCGUCCGGCUGCAAGACGUUAAAGAAAGCGCUUCUUGGAGGCAACCCAUGCAUUCAACAAAGGAAGACCUAGAGAGCACUCCAAUUCCAGAUUUGCGUUCCUAAACCCUUCUCUUUGUUGUUAUUUCGUUUCUGCCAUGUUAGGUUGUUUAGUUGCUGUUUUGUGUGUUUGUUUGUUAUUUGUGUUAGUUUAUGCUUGAAACAUUGAGGACAAUGUUUGAUUUAAGUGUGGGGGGGUAACCAAAGUGUUUUCAUACAAAUUCGUAGGGUUUUAUCACCCAUAAUUUCAAAUGUUGUUCCUUGCUGUUUUUAGGCUGUUUUGGUGUGUUUUAGUGUGUUUUGAUUCAAAAAUCCGAAAAUCCCAUAAAAAUUUGAAAAAUUUGUUUUGAAAAACCCAAAAAGAGUCAUUUUAAAGUUGUUUUGUGUGAUUGUUUGUGUCUUAGGGUACCUUCCAACACAAUGAUGAGGAUUCGGUUUGUAAUUACAUGACGGUUAAAGAGAGUUAUAAACAUGGAUAAAACUUUGAUUUACUCUUUGGUUUAUGCUUGGUUGUGGUUAUAACUUAUGAAUUCACAUGUAAUCAUAAAGAAAAAAUUAGUUUUUGUAACAUGCUUGAAGGAAGGAACUCAAACAAACGCUACAACCUUGUGAGACUUGAGCCUAAACGUUUAUUUGGAGAGUUAAAAUCUGUGCAUUCUUUGUUU